rnacentral:rRNA from 1 species
UACGUAGGGUGCGAGCGUUGUCCGGAAUUACUGGGCGUAAAGAGCUCGUAGGUGGUUUGUCGCGUUGUUCGUGAAAACUCACAGCUUAACUGUGGGCGUGCGGGCGAUACGGGCAGACUGGAGUACUGCAGGGGAGACUGGAAUUCCUGGUGUAGCGGUGGAAUGCGCAGAUAUCCGGAGGAACACCGGUGGCGAAGGCGGGUCUCUGGGCAGUAACUGACGCUGAGGAGCGAAAGCGUGGGGAGCGAACAGG